rnacentral:sRNA from 1 species
UGCUAUUGAGAGUGAUUAAUGAAACAUAAAAGUAAAACAUCAGAAUUCCUUCGUUAUUGUUGUUAUCCUCAGUUUUCCCUUAUCUUCAUCAUCACAUUAAAUAAUUCAAUUUUUCAGUGCAUCGCAUAAUGCGACAAUUUUUUAUGAAUUUAAAUAUAUAAGGGACACAACAUGUCUAAUACAACUGGUAUCGUAAAAUGGUUUAACGAAGAGAAAGGUUUUGGUUUCAUUACUCAAGACAACGGCGGCGCUGACGUAUUCGUUCACUUCCGUGCAAUCACUUCAGACGGCUUCAAGACUUUGGCUGAAGGCCAGAAAGUAUCUUUCGAAGUAGAGCAAGGUCAAAAAGGCCUUCAAGCAGCUAACGUAAUCGCGCUGUAACUUCGUAAGUUGACGUAAAUGGUUUUAUAACCAUUUACGUCAU